rnacentral:rRNA from 1 species
UACGAAGGGUGCAAGCGUUAAUCGGAAUUAUUGGGCGUAAAGCGCGCGUAGGUGGUUCAGUAAGUUGGAAGUGAAAUCCCCGGGCUCAACCUGGGAACUGCUUUCAAAACUGCUGAGCUAGAGUACGGUAGAGGGUGGUGGAAUUUCCUGUGUAGCGGUGAAAUGCGUAGAUAUAGGAAGGAACACCAGUGGCGAAGGCGACCACCUGGACUGAUACUGACACUGAGGUGCGAAAGCGUGGGGAGCAAACAGG